CUUUUUUGUUUGCUGAUCUGCAGUGAUUUGGUGAAUGACAUCGACAGUAGACAUUACAUAGCUGCAGCUAGCCUAGUGGUUAAGAGCGUUGGGCCUGUAACCGAAAGUUUGCUGGUUUGAAUACGUGAGCCGACUAGCUGAAAAAUCUGUUGAUGUACCCUUGAGCAAGGCACUUAACCCUAAUUGCUCCUUUAUGUUGCUCUGGAUGAGAGCGUCUGCUAAAUGACUAAAAUGUAAAAUAGCUAUAGAAGGUUUCUUGUAUCUUGGUCUGUUCAGUGAUUUGGUGAAGGACAUCUACCAUAGAUAUUAAAUAGCUAUAGAAGGUUUCUUGUAUCUUGUUCUGUUCAGUGAUUUGGUGAAGGACAUCUACCAUAGAUAUUAAAUAGCUAUAGAAGGUUUCUUAGAAAUGUUUCCUAAAGUUCUGUUUUUU